UCCCAACCCUUUGUGAACCUUACCUGUCUUAGUGUGCUUCGGAAGGCGGNCCCAGGGCGGGUGCUCUACAGCCUGUUUUUACAGGCGCCUGCCGGAGNAAUUUUUAAAAACUCUUUAUUUUUUAGUGUCUCUCUGAGUCUAAAAACAAAUAAGUCAAAACUUUCAACAACGGAUCUCUUGGUUCUGGCAUCGAUGAAGAACGCAGCGAAAUGCGAUAAGUAAUGUGAAUUGCAGAAUUCAGUGAAUCAUCGAAUCUUUGAACGCAUAUUGCGCCCGUUAGNAUUCUAGCGGGCAUGCGCUGUUCGAGCGUCAUUUCAACCUUCAAGCUUCUCCUUUUGCUUGGAUAGCUGGGGAUCCUAUAAACUUGCUUUAUAGGGCCCUGAAAAUUAGUGGCGGGCUCGCUAACACUCCGAGCGUAGUAGUUUAUUAUUCUCGCUUAGGACGUUUAGUGGGUUCUGGCCGUUAAAACCCCCAAACUUUUUAUAAUGGUUGACCUCGGAUCAGGUAGGAAUACCCGCUGAACUUAAGCAUAU
rnacentral:rRNA from 1 species